AUUGAACGCUGGCGGCAAGCCUAACACAUGCAAGUCGAACGAGUGGCGGACGGGUGAGUAAUGUCUGGGAAACUGCCUGAUGGAGGGGGAUAACUACUGGAAACGGUAGCUAAUACCGCAUACCAUCGGAUGUGCCCAGAUGGGAUUAGCUAGUAGGGGGGGUAAAGGCUCACCUAGGCGACGGUCCCUAGCGGGUCUGAGAGGAUGACCAGCCACAAGGGAACUGAGACACGGGCAAGGUUCCUACGUGAGGCAGCAGUGGGUAAUAUUGCACAAUGGGCGCAAGCCUGAUGCAGCCAUGCCGCGUGUAUGAAGAGGGCCUUCGGGUUGUAAAGUACUUUCAGCGGGGAGGCGUUACCCGCAGAAGAAGCACCGGCUAACUCCGUGCCAGCAGCCGCGGUAAUAC
rnacentral:rRNA from 1 species